CCGAGGCACAGGAAGAUGGCUGGUCAAGAUCACGGAGCUAGGGAGCGGAAGAGAUAGGGUUCAAGCCCAGACUGUUGGGCUCUAGCAUCCAAGCUCUUGGUAACUGUUUCCCUCGCUGUGAACAGAAGCCGUUCUUUUACUUCGGUACAACUGCACCAAGUGUUACAGGAAACGCGACGCCGAGCUGGCACGGCUCGCUGUGUGUUCUGUCUCCCCCGUUGGCGCUAGUCUUCCUCGCGGCGAACGCUCCGUCUAUGCCUGCGGCGGAGACAGGAAGCCAGACACCCAUGCUCAAGUAAUUUCAACAAAUAUCAACUCAAAGCCGACUUGAAGUAGCCAAAAAUGUCAGGGCUGCCUUCCCAGCCCGGUGCAAAGGGAGCCUGCAGGCUGUGCACGCCGCAGAGGCCCGGCUGGGCUCCGCGAGGGCCGGCUUCUUUCUGUAGCCACGCCUUCACGGGGCCGGCGUGACGGCAGCUGCUGCCUCCAGCUGCCAGGCCCGAACCCCGUCUUCCGGCGAGUCCCCCUCACUUUCCUUUAGCGAACCGCCGCUCUCCCUUCUCCGUGCAGGUGGACGGCAGGGAGCUAGCCCCGCCUCCAAGUGCAGGGAGGGGCAAGUGACUGAAACCUGGCCAAUCAGAGCCCGGCUUUUCCCGCGGCUGCAGGGAUUGGCUCACCGAUGGGCACGUGACCCAGGCCAGGCCAAUGGAAUUCAAUUCUGGGACUUUUGCUGGAAGGACGGGAAGCUAAUUUCUUCCUACUUGGUUGAGGGCAGAGAGAAGGAAGCUGGAGAGACGGUGGGCGUCAGGAGAGGAGACUCUGUUUCAAAGGGAGGUCCGUGAGGGGCAGAGCAGCUUGGGGGUGGAGGCAGACGUCUUCGUGAUGUCAUGGUGGGCCCGUCUGGACCUGGCAGCAGGUGGUCCAGCCCUGCUCUACCUGUUGCUUAGCAAUGAUUCCCUCUUCUGCUAACGCCAGCCUCAGCUGGGCUUGGCUCACUUAUUAGAGGAAGAAAGAGCGGAUUCCAGGGCAUGGCUCUGCGGGGCUGUGCGGCGGCGCUGCUGAGUCUCCUGCUGGCUUCUGCUCACGCAGGCACCUGGUUGGCUCUCUCCCCUCCCUUUCUGCCUGACAUCCCUGGACUGGAAAUCCAGCCUCCCCCCACCCUAACAGCACAGUUUCCCGCCCUUGCGGUAUUGUGUUGUGAUGCCAGUCUGCGAGUCUCUCUCCAAAACCAGAAGGUGGGCUCCUUGGGGUCAGAGGUUAGGCUCUGUGCGCUGACAGCUUUGAGCAGUGCCCAGUGUGAUGCUGUGCUU